AUUGAACGCUGGCGGCAUGCUUUACACAUGCAAGUCGAACGGUAACAGGGUGCUUGCACCGCUGACGAGUGGCGAACGGGUGAGUAAUGCGUCGGAACGUGCCGAGUAGUGGGGGAUAACGCAGCGAAAGUUGUGCUAAUACCGCAUACGUACUGAGGUAGAAAGGGGGGGACCUUCGGGCCGCACGCUAUUCGAGCGGCCGACGUCUGAUUAGCUAGUAGGUGCGGUAAAGGCUCACCUAGGCGACGAUCAGUAGCGGGUCUGAGAGGAUGAUCCGCCACACUGGGACUGAGACACGGCCCAGACUCCUACGGGAGGCAGCAGUGGGGAAUUUUGGACAAUGGGCGAAAGCCUGAUCCAGCCAUGCCGCGUGUGUGAAGAAGGCCUUAUGGUUGUAAAGCACUUUAAGCGAGGAGGAGGCUACUUUAGUUAAUACCUGGAGAUAGUGGACGUUACUCGCAGAAUAAGCACCGGCUAACCCUGUGCCAGCCGCCGCCGUAA
rnacentral:rRNA from 1 species